rnacentral:rRNA from 1 species
UACGGGGGGGGCAAGCGUUGUUCGGAAUUACUGGGCGUAAAGGGUCUGUAGGUGGCUUGCUAAGUCAGACGUGAAAUCCCUCGGCUUAACCGGGGAACUGCAUCUGAUACUGGAUGGCUUGAGUUCGGGAGAGGGAUGCGGAAUUCCAGGUGUAGCGGUGAAAUGCGUAGAUAUCUGGAGGAACACCGGUGGCGAAGGCGGCAUCCUGGACCGACACUGACGCUGAGGAGCGAAAGCCAGGGGAGCAAACGGG